UAGCCUAGCCCAAAUAAGUUGCAGUUGACUUUGUCUUGCAUACCCAUGAAUAUAAGAAAACAUAAUUGCUGUUUUAAGCCACUGACCAGCAUUGGGUUGGUUUGUUACACAGCAUUAUUUUGGCUGAUUGAUACAUUUCAUACUGCAUUUUUAUUAAUAAUGAAACAGAUGAUGAUAAAAGAGAAUAGGAGAAUGAGGAUUAAUAGUAGAGAUGGGUUGAAUGGUAUUUAAAAUUAUAUCAACUAUAUUUGCAACUAAAGGUUCAAAUGGCCAUGGAGCUAUAAUUUUCUUCAUUCCAAGGCAUUCUGUAGAUUUUCUCCCAAAAUGAGCCUAAGCCAAUAUUUUUCAAACAAACAAAACAAGCAGAUGAAUAAGCAAACAAGCUAUAUUAUGGACUAUCUAGGGAGUGGAUGGACCAGAAUUCCCCAGGUGUGUGAAGCUGUGUGUAGCCUGUAUCCCUCAAAGCCACCCCACUCCUUUACCAAUUUUUGAGCACCAAGAAUGAAGGAAUAGAUGGGAACUAGAACUUGGAGAUGAAUUUUCUCGUAGUCUGAUUGCAAAUAUCUCUUUGUACAAGAAAAAGACUUAUUUAUGUUGCAUUAGGAGAGUAAAAAAUACACGUUACUUUUUAAUACAUGUCUUUUUUUUUUUUGCCUUUACACAUGAUAGAAAUAUGCUAGCAACAUUUUAUGUUUCUCAACUGGUCUUUCCAUAAACUCACCUCUGCCAAGAUCUAGCAGCAGUUCUGAGUAUCUUUCAGAGACACACCUGGAGCCCUUUGCUAAGGAAGCUGGAAGUAGUUCAUGGGCCUGGAAACCACAGAAUACCUUUGCUGGCUGCUUAGAGUCCCCAAAAGACCCACUCUUCACUUUGUGAGGAUGCAAAUCCGAUUUGCUCUCCUGAAGGCUGUGGCCCAGGCUCCCCUUCUACAACAGCAAACCAUUCUGUUUCCAGAGGGAACAAAAUAUUCAGAUUUUGAAUAAGAAUCCAGUUUAUGAAAGAUGCUGCUGUGUAGUAGCAAACCACUGGCCUCAGAGGUUGGAUCUUCACUUUGUCAUUUGCUACCUGAAUAACCUGGGC
rnacentral:lncRNA from 1 species